UUCUACAGAAAGCUCUUGCACAUAUGAAGACAGUCAGUGGCGGCCGAACAGGAAGCACUAUCCCACCAGUGAGCUGGACGGCUGUGUCUCAAUCUACACAAACACGACUGGCUGUGUCUGUUGGGAGAGAGGGUUGAAAAGGGUUUGUUAUUACUGUGACAAUUUGGCCUCUGUUGGCUGAGUAAGCACCUGCAUGGAACUAAUGACUAAUGGAGAGCAGUGCAUGACUCCCUGGCAGGUGAAUAGAAGCGGUUGGCAACUGUACAAGGGACACUAGGUGUUAGGUGCAGCUUGCUUUGGUCAGGAUCGAGUUCACUGUGGAAAACCCAUGCAGACACGUGGAGAACAUGCAAACUUCGCACAGAAAGGACCUGGACCGCCCCACCUGGGGAUCGAACCCAGGACCCUCUUGCUGUGAGGUGCCAGUGCUACCCACCAUGCCAAGUCAGGUAUUACAGAAGCUCAAGGUCAACAGUCAGUCCCAUAAGCACAGAGCUGGCACCGCUCAGGUCAGAUCCACCAGCCAUUUAUCCACCGUGCUGUGACAGCACCAAGAUUCAGGUCUAAUAUAUUUCAUUCCUUCAUCUGAUGAAUGUGCACGUCAUUGAGUUGAAUCUGCAUGUGUGAUCUACAUGUAGACUCCAUACAGGAAGGAUUCGAACCCAGACCCUUCUCGCGCCACCAUGCCGACCAACGAGCAAAUCGUUUAGAAAUCUAUAAAGUGAAAUAAAUCCUAAUCAUUA